rnacentral:rRNA from 1 species
AUUCCAGCUCCAAUAGCGUAUAUUAAAGUUGUUGCAGUUAAAAAGCUCGUAGUCUGACCCUUGGUUAGCGAUGAGCGUCCAAGGCCUUUUUUGUGUCUUGUGCACGCGAUAUGCGCAGCCAUUUUUGUACUUCGGAGGAGCGCGUGUGCUUUUAACUAAGUGCGCGUGGGAUUCCGAUAGUUUACUUUGAGAAAAAUAGAGUGUUCAAAGCAGGCGUUUGCCUUGAAUACAUUAGCAUGGGAUAAUGAAAUAGGACAUUGGUUCUAUUUUGAUGGUUUACGGACCGAUGUAAUGAUUAAUAGGGACAGUUGGGGACAUUCAUAUUCCAUGGCUAGAGGUGAAAUUCUUGGAUUCAUGGAAGAUGAACUACUGCGAAAGCAUUUGUCAAAGAUGUUUUCAUUA